GAUGAACGCUGGCGGCGUGCCUAAUACAUGCAAGUCGAACGCGAGAGGAGGGAGCUUGCUCCCUCUGAUCGAGUGGCGGACGGGUGAGUAACACGUAGGCAACCUGCCCAUCAGCCGGGGAUAACUGCGGGAAACCGUGGCUAAUACCGGAUAAUCCUCCCCGCCGCGGGGUGGGGAGUUGAAAGACGGUUUCGGCUGUCGCUGAUGGAUGGGCCUGCGGCGCAUUAGCUGGUUGGCGGGGUAACGGCCCACCAAGGCAACGAUGCGUAGCCGACCUGAGAGGGGGAGCGGCCCCACUGGGACUGAGACACGGCCCAGACUCCUACGGGAGGCAGCAGUAGGGAAGCUUCCGCAAUGGGCGCAAGUCUGACGGAGCAACGCCUCGUGAGUGAAGAAGGGUUUCGGCUCGUAAAACUCUGUUGUUAAGGAAGAACGCCAGGUAGAGUAACUGCUACCUGUGUGACGGUACUUAACCAGAAAGCCACGGCUAACUACGUGCCAGCCGCCGCCGUAA
rnacentral:rRNA from 1 species